rnacentral:rRNA from 1 species
GUGUCAGCCGCCGCGGUAAUACGAAGGGUGCGAGCGUUAAUCGGAAUUACUGGGCGUAAAGCGCGCGUAGGUGGUUUUGUAAGCGAAAUGUGAAAUCCCCGGGCUUAACCUGGGAACUGCAUAUCGAACUGCAAGGCUAGAGUAUAGUAGAGGAGUGUGGAAUUCCCGGUGUAGCGGUGAAAUGCGUAGAUAUCGGGAGGAACAUCAGUGGCGAAGGCGGCACUCUGGACUGAUACUGACACUGAGGCGCGAAAGCGUGGGUAGCGAACAGGAUUAGAUACCCUGGUAGUCC